ensembl:lncRNA MAGI2-AS3 MAGI2 antisense RNA 3
GUUUCAUGUCUUCAUCUAUAUAGUCACUUAUUUGUCUUAAAGUUCUCGAAAUUCCCUCUUAGAGAAGGAGAAAGUUAGAGAACUGGAGGCUGCGUACCCUGAUUACGCAGAAGGGAAGCAGCCUCGCAUUCCCCGGGGCAGGCCCCCGCCCGCGCGUCCCGCCAGUAGGGGAAUUUAGCGGACGGCUGCGGUUGUCUGGUGAAAGGCUAUCCAAGGAUAAGGGGCUUCACUUUUCCCAAGUAGGGGAAAGAGAAGGGGUCUACAGGGCUAGGGGUGGAGGGAGCGGAUGCAGUGAGCAGCCUCCGCAGAGAAAUUGACAAUUUAACCAGGGACCUGCGGCAGAGACAAGGCGGAGACACUCCCUUGCCCAGGAAAGCCGCCAGAGUCCGGCUUGUACCUGGGGAAGAAUCCUUAAGACGGUCUGGCCCAACACUCCUUUGCUCACAGAGAAAGGGGAGAAGACUCCCGAGGGUGAAAAUGGUACAUUCGGAGCUGGAACUCAGCUCGCUGACCCCAAGCAGUGUUCCCUUCUUUUCGCCAGGUUUGCAUCCAAGAGAGGGGAGGACAGGGGCAAAAGGAUGCAGGGAGGCUGCUGAUUUCCACUGAAGAGCUAAUUUCCUGUGAGACAUUAACAGUGAUUUAAGAAAAAGAUUCCUGUAACUGUAAUGUCUUACAAUAACAGAAUGCAGGAGAGCACAUAUCAAUGAAGAAAAGACAAAAUGUACUUAUCCAUGAAGCUGAGGUUAAGAAACCAGUGUCUUCAAGAGCCAGGGACAGCACUGGGUCUGUGCAGAGUUGAGAGAUGGUGAUGACAUGUGGUUUCCAGCAUUCUUGGCCCAGUCUGGGAUUCUACUCUUUUGUAGUGGUUUCCAGCAUUCCUCACCCAGUCCAGGGACACUGUGGGUGUGCCCAGCUUAAGUCCAGUAACUGGAAAUACAAGCCCAAGUUCUGGAGAGUUUGAGCUGCAGAGAUAUAUAUGGGAACACUUUGAAUCUUGACUCAUUGGCCAUAACCAGCAGAGUGGAAAAUACAAGAAGAGAAAAAAACAUUGAACUGCGAUUUUAUAACAUCCUUUACUAGGCAGAGAGAAGAGGAAACACCAGGAAAGAAAACUGUAUUACGAUGUGAAAACUUAAUGUUGAGAAAUUCAGGCAUCUUGGGGUUAGUGAGGAGAAGUUUUAGGGGCUUAGAUUCUUCUAAACACAUGUACAGAAAUGCAUAUUUCAUCUGAUAUCAAAUGGCAUUUAUAGUGCUAAUCUUUACCUCAAGACUUCACAUCUUUUGGUGAUUGCAUCUUUUAGGUUUAUAGCAGCUAAGUUUGCAUGAAAACACCAGGGCUGUUUCAUUUCAGUCAAGAAUUAAUGUUCAUUGAUUGUGCUUCUGCAUUUCAUGUAACUAUUGUAGAAUUUGUUUUAGUUUUAUGAGGGAAUAAUUGUUCCAACUUCUAUAUAACUCAGGAAUUUACUCUCAAACAACACUGUCAAUUAGUUACUUAUCUCUCUGGAAAUGAUCUGGGAACAUGGAGAGGAAAGGGAGGAAGGGGCAAAAUCUGACCACUUAAAUCUAAGCAUAUUAGAUCAUUUUAUGCUAGAAAGUCCUGAAUGAUGUGACUUUCGUUCUUGUAAAACACCUCUUUCCAUAGAUUCAUGGCCCAAACAGUAUAUAAAGAGUGGGGAAGGAACUGCAUUUGCAAAUAGUUCAAAUCAUUGCUCCAUCUUAACUACGCAGUUCACAAAGUGUGAAGAAAUGUGAUCAUCUCAAAAAAGAUAAUGGGGAAAAAAUAUGUUUUGUUCUGUGACUUUAAAGUCUUGCAAUAUUUUACAUAAAUGAUAAUGGGUGCUUUAAUAAGAACUCUUGAUACUUUUGUUAUUGUAUUCAAUAUAUGCAUAUAAUACAACAGGAUGAUAUUGUUUUGGAUUUGGAAAUGUAUUCUUUCUUAUGCAAUCUUAUGCAGUCAUACUGCUUGAAUAUCAUUACCUGAAUUUAUCUUUCUUUUUUUUGUUGUUGUUUUACACUCUACUUAUUUGGUGCCUGUCAGUCUUUUGUCGUCAGUUUAUAUUCUACUAAACUCAAAAAGACAAUCUCAUACCUUUUGUAAUUGUAGGCAUUCUUUACUAGAUUUUUAAAUACACUUCAAAAAUUCAAGUACUUUGAUUUCAUGCCAUCAAGUAGCUGAAUCUAUCCCCCCGUCUCUUUUUAAAUUUAAGUGAGUAGUUCAAUUUCUGUCACUUUCUACUUUGUGAAUUCUAAAUCUUUUAAAACCAUCUUGCCAUUUUUCGUGCACUUACCCUUACAGAAAACUCUGUGAAACACUACUUAUCUCUACUUUUAUGUUUUUAACUCCUUUUUUAUAUUACUAUUCCCUCUGCUUUCUAAAUGCACAUAUUAAUUUGUUCUUUUUAUUCUCUGUAGCUCUUCUCAGUGUAUGAAUUCAGUUUCCCAUCAGUCUCCAUACAAUUAAAAAAAAGUUGAGUAUUCUGUUAUUUUAAUAAGAUAUCUAGUGCCCAUAUUCUAAUUCUGCCCCUUAUUUUUAAUAUAAUUUUAUUGUUGAUUUAAAAUGACAACAGUUUCAAUUCCCAGAAAGUGAAAGGAAACAAAGGAAUAAUAUUAUAGGCUUAAUUUUUAUCAGUGAACUUGUAGGUGAAGAAAAGAUUUGGGGAAGGAAAUGAACAUAUUAUAUUGCAAAAUAGUAAGGAACAAUCAGAUGUGUUUUCUAGUCUCUGGAAAAGCAUGUUUCAAGAAAUUCAAUGAAAAGUUCAUCAUGCUUGCUUAGAUUGUUGAGAAGCAAAAACACUGAUGAACAUUUGGAAGCAAUGAGAAUGUAAUUCUAAUCAUACUCUUUUAAUAAUGUUGCAAAACUCUCCAAACACUACUCUGUGUGGAUGUCUUUCAGAAUAUGAUGAAUACUAGUAGUCUUAUUCUGCCCUUUUCUCUCUAUCACAAUAUAUACAUUCUAUAUUGCAUACACAUAUUUUCCAAAUAUUACAUAUAAUUUCAUGUAAUUUAUAGACCUAUUAAGGCCCAACCAUUUUCUUGGAUAGGGGAUUCUUUAGAAGUCCAGCUUAAAUAAAGCCCGUAUAGAAAGUUUUUUUAAAAUUUAUACAUAAUCACCUAAAGUAACCUUAUCUACUGAACUCUUAGUACAUGCUACUGGAACCUUUUAUCAUGUUUCUUCCUGGCUUGCAUUACAACACUGUUGACAUAUCUCAGCCUUACUUCUAGGCUUCUUUGAGAGCAUGACUCAUGUUUGUAUUCCUCACUGAGGUUGAAUGAAUAAGAGAAACUACAGUAGUAGGAAAAAACAGUACAUGUACAUAUCAAUGAAUAUGAAAGGGUCAAAUGGAUCUAUUAUAGUAAGCACAAAAUCAACUGACACCAGCAAAGUAAACCCAAAAUUUUUAAUGGUAUUUUAAUAGAUCAAGAGGAGCAAGCAGAUUUUUGAGACAGUUGUCUCCUACUUUCUCUAUCACAGGGAGUAAUUUUAAAAGAAAAAUGGAGGGUAAGUUUCUUUAAGAGAAAAUUGUAGUUUAAAACAGGUCAUGGGAUAAUUAGAAAUAAUUUAAUUUCUUUAGAGGAUUUUAAUCUUUCAACUGCUUGCAAUUAGAUCCUAAGGCAAUAAAAGAAUAAGGAGAUUUGGAAAACCAUUGUCUGUAAUCUCUGAAGAAAAGUGGACAUUAGGGGAGUCAGUUGAAAAGCAAAGCUAUCACCAUUUUCUAAAGAGGAAAAAGGUGAACCUCACAAACUAUAGACCAAAAAAAUAGGACAUCGAGAGAAAGAAUAUGAAGCUAGCAUAGGUUCACAAAGAAUGAGUCAAAUCAAACAACAUGCAUUUUUUAUUUAUAAAGCAUGACUUGUUCAUUGUCAAUUCAUGUUAGCUUAAUCAUUAGGCAUUAAUGCCAUCACUGCAAUGCAUAUGUCAGCAAUAAAUAAUCAAAGACCAGGCUUCCAUCAUUCUGUUUAAUAUCUUCAAGUAAUGCUUAAGUUUGCAAAUGCUCUUUUAACACAUUCUCCAUAUGCAGCCUGCCCAGCACUGCACACAAUAGACCUGUUACUUCCCCCUCACGAGCACUCCUAAUAUUUCAUGUGCUCAUCCAAUUGACUUCUCCCACUGGUGCCUCAUAUUGAAUUUGUAGAAUCACACCUGCUCCUUUUUCAAAACUCUUCUGAGUUUUUUCUUAAAUAAUUCACUGACCCCAAAGUUGUCAGAUAUUUGAAGACUACUCGCACAAUUUUAAUAUUAUAAAUGUAUAAUGUAAAUGUAAUUAAGAUUUGUAUAAUGUACGAUGUACUUUGGUAAAUAAAAGUAUGCUGUGAAUAAAUACGUAUGAUACAAUUCAAAAUUUUACAUAAAUAUGUGAUAAAAUUUA